UCGAGUAUGAGGAGUUUUCGUUGCCUGUCUGAUGUUAUUGAUGUUAUUCGGAUUUUAUGAUUUUAUGUGAACUUAAGAAUAGUGUUUGAAUUUUCGUCGUUGUUGUUUAGAUUGUGAAAGAUAAUCAUCCAAAACAUUCAUGUCUCAUUCGUUUGGCGCGAACUCAUGGUCAUGGACAUACGGUGAUCGUUAAAUCCACUUGUUUUGCUAACUAAGCAAUGUUGAGUCGCAUUGAAAGUUUAUGUGAUUCUCGUAGGAAUAGUGAAAAUCGUAAUGGUACACUAACCACAUUAUAUGGACAGGUCUACAAUUUUCUAUAAGCUGACUAAUCCACAGAAGAUAUUAUUUUGUUACUUGGAGUAACCUAAAAUAAUUAUUGUGUCGUUUUCAAUGAGCGUUGAGAUGUGCGCUGGGAAUUAGUGUGAGGAUCCAUUAACUCCUUUUCAAUCAAGGAAAAUGAAGUUGUGUCUGCAGAAAUUAUCAGGACAGGUGCAAUAAAACUCAAAAGGUCAAAGUUUGUUUGUGUUUGUGGAGAGAAGGAGAUUGUUUAAAGCAAAUCAAGCUGUGUACAGUGUCACAAGGUGUACAAAAGGUAGAUGUCAAUGUUGAUCGUACUUCAAGUCUAUGGAUAGAUAGGGCAUAUUGAGAAUCAAACAUGUUUGCUGGUUGUUUGGUUUGUAGAAAGGUUCCCAAGUGCAAACCAUGUGUAUCGGAGUGUGUGUAGCCUGUGGGUCUUGCCUUCUCUCAUCGUUUAGUGUGACUGUAAGUACAUAAAUGCCGUUUUGAAUAAAUAGAUGAAACAAACAUCUGUUUUCCUCGUUGUUAGAGCUGAGAACUCUUGAUGUCAUUGUGCUUGUGAAAGGAAAAUUAUUCUUGACUUUAUCGCUGCAAUAAACUACUUGUCAAAUUA